rnacentral:rRNA from 1 species
AUUGAACGCUGGCGGCAGGCCUAACACAUGCAAUUCGAACGAGUGGCGGACGGGUGAGUAAUGUCUGGGAAACUGCCUGAUGGAGGGGGAUAACUACGGGAAACGAUAGCUAAUACCGCAUACCAUCGGAUGUGCCCAGAGGGGAUUAGCUCUGAGGUGGGGUAACGGCUCACCUAGGCGACGAUCCCUAGCUGGUCUGAGAGGAUGACAAGCCACACGUGAACGGAGACACGGUCCAGACUCCUACGGGAGGCAGCAGUGGGGAAUAUUGCACAAUGGGCGCAAGCCUGAUGCAGCCAUGCCGCGUGUAUGAAGAAGGCCGUCGGGUUUUAAAGUACUGUCAGCGGGGAGGCGUUACCCGCAGAAGAAGCACCGGCUAACUCCGUGCCAGCAGCCGCGGUAAUAC